CAACAAUCCGAGAUUCUCAGUGUACUUUUUCUGUUUUUCAGGUGAUUUCCCAUAGCACUUACUGGGGUUCUCCCUCCAGAGCAGUCCAGCUGUUGGGAAAGCGAUUUCCGAUUGGUAUGGAGAGCAUGAGGCUGCCGCUCUCUGAAGGGCACGGCUUUCCGGGGUGUUGUGCAGUCCAUGUCCCCUAUCCAGUAUGGGUUUACACCUGUGGCACGUGGAGAGAGUGGCCAAAUUACUUCUCCUAGCUUUGGAAAUCUCUGCACAUUCAUCUGAUCAGCAGGUACCUGGCAGCCUGAGAUCCCUUUCCAGAGAGAGGCACAGUUUGGACUCCUGGAAAGCUUGAUUCCUGAGCUGCUGUUUCCUCUGGUUGCAC
rnacentral:lncRNA from 1 species